AGUCACACGAGAAGAACAAAUGAUUAAAAGGAGAAGACUGAGGAAAGAUCAGGAACAGAGAGCAGAGACACUAUGAUGGGUGUGAGAAAAAGUGACAGAGUUGGAUCAGGGCACUGUGCUGUGUUGAAGAUUACUGCUAUGAAGGUCAAGAAACUGAAAUUCAGAGAAGAUACCUAUUCAAGCCCACAGAGUUUGGAAGGGGGGCAGAGACAGAUACAAACAAACCUGCUCUUCUGACCACGGUUCUGAUGCCUUCCUGCCUGUCCGCGCAGCCUCAGUCCAGGGCUCAGACAUCCCCGUGGUGAGUGCAGCCUGUUCCCUCUCUCCCUGCCACCCUCUGGCAUUACAAUAAGGGACACACGAUAUUGGAGGAAAAAGAGGGACAGUGCUGUCCCAUACAGAACCCAGUGUGAGUAGAAACAGCCCUGGAGCCAAGAGCAAGGUGAACCUGUGGCACCACAGACGACAGAGAAGAGGGAAGGGGUGUGGAAAUGGAGGCGCCAUCAAAGCAGAGAAAAUAGGGACCAUAUUAAGGUCAGGACGUUGGGAGUUUCUAGUUUUUAAUCUGUUUUCAUGGUCAAAGAUGCACCCCCAAAGGCCCAAAGCCACAGCAGUCACUGCAUGUGCCACAGGCUCUGAGUCUUCCAGAGGCUAACGCACCCUCAGCCGCCCUCUGACAGCUGUCACGCACUGUGGGCACGGAUCCCUGCCUGCCGCACCCACCGGGCUGUCUCUUCACUGUGCUGUCCUUGGGGUCAGAGGCCGCGCACCCAAGCACUUUUUCCUGACCCUCCACGCACUGCUGCUGCCUCCCCUUUCGGGGCAGCCCCAACUGCAUUGUAGAGAAAGAUUGUGCUAAAGAAAAAUGACCAGACUCUCAAGUCUGACUUCCUGAGCAUUUUUGUAAAUCAGAUCUGUCUCUUCUUUUUAUGAUUCUGAUAUUUUUUUGCUCAUUACAGAAACUUUGAGAAUACAAAAAGGAGAAAGA